rnacentral:snRNA from 1 species
AGCUUUGCCCAGUGGCAGUAUCGUAGCCAAUGUGGUUUAUCCAAGGCGCGAUUACUGCUAUUGAGACACUAACAGGGAGCGCCAAAGUUCCACAGGCUAAGCCUUCUCAGCUCUUUUCCUGUGCUUCUAUAAUAGCUCUGGGCGGUAUUUCUGAAAAUGUGGUCACU